GUGAGGAAUAUUGGUCAAUGGUCGCAAGACUGAACCAGCCAUGCCGCGUGCAGGAUGAAGCAUCUAUGGUGUGUAAACUGCUUUUGUACGGGAAGAAACACUGCUACGUGUAGCAGCUUGACGGUACCGUAAGAAUAAGGAUCGGCUAACUCCGUGCCAGCAGCCGCGGUAAUACGGAGGAUCCAAGCGUUAUCCGGAAUCAUUGGGUUUAAAGGGUCCGUAGGCGGUUUUAUAAUUCAGUGGUGAAAUCAGGCAGCUCAACUGUCGCACUGCCAUUGAUACUGUAGAACUUGAAUGUCUGUGAAGUAACUAGAAUAUGUAGUGUAGCGGUGAAAUGCUUAGAUAUUACAUGGAAUACCAAUUGCGAAGGCAGGUUACUAACAGAUUAUUGACGCUGAUGGACGAAAGCGUGGGUAGCGAACAGGAUUAGAAACCCGUGUAGUCC
rnacentral:rRNA from 1 species